CCCUUAGAUGUUCUGGGCGGCCCGCGCACUACAAUGGCGCUUUCAGCGAGUUCCUAUGUUGAAUUUUCCUGGGUAUUCUUGGAAGCGGCGUCUUGACUUGGGAUAGAUCCUUGUAAUUGUUGGUUUUGAACGAGGAAUUCCUUGUAAUCGCGGUUGAUCAGCUCGCGUUGAAUACGUCCCUGCCCUUUGUACACACCGCCCGUCGCUCCUACCGAUUGGGUGAGCCGAUGAAACUCUCGGAUGUAGGCUAUUCAUAGCCCGCAGAAGAGAUUUGAAUCGUAGCGCUUAGAGGAAGGAGAAGUCGUAACA
rnacentral:rRNA from 1 species